rnacentral:rRNA from 1 species
UACAGAGGUCUCAAGCGUUGUUCGGAUUCAUUGGGCGUAAAGGGUGCGUAGGUGGCGCUGUAAGUCGGGUGUGAAAUUUCGGAGCUUAACUCCGAAACUGCAUUCGAUACUGCGGUGCUUGAGGACUGGAGAGGAGACUGGAAUUCAUGGUGUAGCAGGUGAAAUGCGUAGAGAUCAUGAGGAAGACCAGUGGCGAAGGCGGGGUCUCUGGACAGUUCCUGGACACUGAGGCACGGAAGGCCAGGGGAGCAAACGGG